rnacentral:rRNA from 1 species
AUUGAACGCUGGCGGCAGGCUUAACACAUGCAAGUCGGACGGUAACAGGGAGGAAGCUUGCUUUCUUUGCUGACGAGUGGCGGACGGGUGAGUAAUGCUUGGGAAUCUGUUUUAUGGAGGGGGAUAACUACGGGAAACUGUAGCUAAUACCGCGUAAUAUCGAGAGAUCAAAGUGUGGGACCGUAAGGCCACAUGCCAUAGAGUGAGCCCAAGUGGGAUUAGGUAGUUGGUGGGGUAAAGGCCUACCAAGCCGUCGAUCUCUAGCUGGUCUGAGAGGAUGACCAGCCACACUGGGACUGAGACACGGCCCAGACUCCUACGGGAGGCAGCAGUGGGGAAUAUUGCACAAUGGGCGCAAGCCUGAUGCAGCCAUGCCGCGUGAAUGAAGAAGGCCUUCGGGUUGUAAAGUUCUUUCGGUGGUGAGGAAGGUUGUAAUGUUAAUAGCAUUAUAAUUUGACGUUAGCCACAGAAGAAGCACCGGCUAACUCCGUGCCAGCAGCCGCGGUAAUACGGAGGGUGCGAGCGUUAAUCGGAAUAACUGGGCGUAAAGGGCACGCAGGCGGAUACUUAAGUGAGGUGUGAAAGCCCUGGGCUUAACCUAGGAAUUGCAUUUCAUACUGGGUAUCUAGAGUAUUUUAGGGAGGGGUAGAAUUCCACGUGUAGCGGUGAAAUGCGUAGAGAUGUGGAGGAAUACCGAAGGCGAAGGCAGCCCCUUGGGGGAAUACUGACGCUCAUGUGCGAAAGCGUGGGGAGCAAACAGG